ACGGUAAAGAGAGAGGGUGAGAGACUGAGAGUUAGGGGCUAGCCACCAAUUCUUACGGCGGAGACAUGGCGGCGCGCAAGCAGUGACAUCACAAGCUGGUGCGUACACUACCACAACUCGCUGACCACAAGCCGGUGCGUACACGUACUACCACAACCCGCUGACCGGAGGACGAGGUUUCAUCAGUGAUGUCGGUUCCGCGGUACAAACGACGAUGGUUCUAUUCUCAUGGUCCAGGUGGUGUACGAGGGCGACCAGCGGCAGCGAUGAAAACUGGAACUAGGGUUUCGGCCGGUAUCCCACAACUUAUCUGGCUUCAAGAUGAUGUUCCGACGACAUGCAAUGGCCACACAGUUAGGGUUUCGCCGCAAACACAGCGACGACGGCGAUUGUGGUUGAUCUCCCGCAACAUUGGAAGCCGAUCCUGCCAAACCAGCUUAUUGGGUCGAUUUGAUAUAUGGCGGUGUUUGAUGUGGUGUUCUCCGAUGAGGCUCAGGUGGUGACUAUGUCGUUUUGAUUUGGAUGUAUAAUUGAGAAGUAAACUGUUUUAUUAGAAUUUUUUAUGUGUACCGAUGAUUAGUUUGGUUUGACCACUAUCUAUUUAAUAAAAGAUGGACAUGAGGCGAUUUGAAGUAUA